ACGCUGGCGGCGUGCCUAAUACAUGCAAGUAGAACGCUGAAGCUUGGUGCUUGCACCGAGCGGAAGAGUUGCGAACGGGUGAGUAACGCGUAGGUAACCUGCCUCUUAGCGGGGGAUAACUAUUGGAAACGAUAGCUAAUACCGCAUAAAAGUCGGCAUUGCAUGAUGUUGACUUGAAAGGUGCAACUGCAUCACUAAGAGAUGGACCUGCGUUGUAUUAGCUAGUUGGUGAGGUAACGGCUCACCAAGGCGACGAUACAUAGCCGACCUGAGAGGGUGAUCGGCCACACUGGGACUGAGACACGGCCCAGACUCCUACGGGAGGCAGCAGUAGGGAAUCUUCGGCAAUGGACGGAAGUCUGACCGAGCAACGCCGCGUGAGUGAAGAAGGUUUUCGGAUCGUAAAGCUCUGUUGUAAGAGAAGAACGAGUGUGAGAGUGGAAAGUUCACACUGUGACGGUAACUUACCAGAAAGGGACGGCUAACUACGUGCCAGCAGCCGCGGUAAUACGUAGGUCCCGAGCGUUAUCCGGAUUUAUUGGGCGUAAAGCGAGCGCAGGCGGUUAGAUAAGUCUGAAGUUAGAGGCUGUGGCUUAACCAUAGUACGCUUUGGAAACUGUUUAACUUGAGUGCAGAAGGGGAGAGUGGAAUUCCAUGUGUAGCGGUGAAAUGCGUAGAUAUAUGGAGGAACACCGGUGGCGAAAGCGGCUCUCUGGUCUGUAACUGACGCUGAGGCUCGAAAGCGUGGGGAGCAAACAGGAUUAGAUACUCUGGUAGUCCACGCCGUAAACGAUGAGUGCUAGGUGUUGGGUCCUUUCCGGGACUCAGUGCCGCAGCUAACGCAUUAAGCACUCCGCCUGGGGAGUACGACCGCAAGGUUGAAACUCAAAGGAAUUGACGGGGGCCCGCACA
rnacentral:rRNA from 1 species